rnacentral:tRNA from 1 species
UUCCUUGUGGCUCAGUUGGUAGAGAAUCUGCCUGCAAUGCAGGAGACCUGGGUUCAAUCCCUGGGGCAGAAA